rnacentral:misc_RNA from 1 species
UUUCCGUAGGUGAACCUGCGGAAGGAUCAUUAUUAUUUUGUGAUUUUGUUAUUGUUUGUGUGUGGUUUUUGGAUUGGAUUGUUUGAAUGAUUCAAGAAGAAAAAAAGGGCUUACAAGCUUGAUCAGAGAAGAAAAAAUAAUACACAACUCUUGGCAAUGGAUACCUUGGUUCCC